rnacentral:rRNA from 1 species
GAUGAGCGCUAGCGAUAGGCCUAACACAUGCGAGUCGAGGGGCAGCAUAGAGUAGCAAUACUUUGAUGGCGACCGGCGCACGGGUGAGUAACACGUAUGCAACCUACCUACAUCAGGGGAAUAACCCGGAGAAAUUCGGACUAAUACCGCAUAAUACAGGGAUGCCGCAUGGCAAUAUUUGUUAAAGAUUUAUCGGAUGUAGAUGGGCAUGCGUUCCAUUAGCUUGUUGGUGAGGUAACGGCUCACCAAGGCAACGAUGGAUAGGGGAACUGAGAGGUUUGUACCCCCGACUGGAGCUGAGACACGGACCAGACUCCUACGGGAGGCAGCAGUGAGGAAUAUUGGUCAAUGGACGAGAGUCUGAACCAGCCAAAUCGCGUGAAGGAAGACUGCCCUACGGGUUGUAAACUUCUUUUGUACAGGAAUAAAAGACAUUACGUGUAAUGUAUUGCAUGUACUGUACGAAUAAGCAUCGGCUAACUCCGUGCCAGCCGCCGCCGUAA